AUAAGCUGUCAAAUAUUUCUUUUUCCUAGUUCCUUUGUUGCUGCUGGUCUCCUCAGUAGUUGCUGGGAUCCUGCUGCUGCUCCCGCUGGUCUUGGUGGUGGUCUGUUUGGUCCUCAGGAGAAGGCGACAAUCAAAGCAGUCUGGAGGCGUCGUCCAAACUCAAUUGACGGUCAGGAACAAGUAUGAAGAGGACAAUGAGGAGAGUGAGGAGGAGGAGGGGGACUAUGUGAACGUUGAGCCAGUGGACACCAACCAGAUACAGACUGGACAAGCAGAAGGAGACGAAGACGAAGAUGGUGAUGAUCAUGAUUAUGAGGAAGCGCAGAUUGAAGACGAUUAUAUAGUGGCUGUAGAGGUUUCUGUUAAUAUGGAACACAACAGAGAGGAACAAGUAGAUGAAGAAGAAACCAGUGAUGAUGACAAUGACUAUGAGAAUGCAACCCAGCCAUUUACUGAACAAGAAGUGGACAUUUAUGGGGGAAAUGAGGAUAUUUAUCAAAACCUUUAGGUUUCCACUUGUCACAGUGUCACAUUGAUUAUCGUGGAUAAAACUAUUACUUAACUAUUGACCCACUGCCAACAUAACAAUAUUAUCAAUUAGUGUGUGGGAACUCAAACCUAGACUUUCAUUUUCUGUCUGAAACCACAAACAUUUUUGUUUUUCCCAGGUUACAGAAUAUGUAGAAAAUAAAUAAAUGAAGUAAAAGGA